rnacentral:rRNA from 1 species
GAUCAAGUGUCUUAAGGGCAAUUGGUGGAUGCCUUGGCAUGCACAGGCGAUGAAGGACGUGAUACGCUGCGAUAAGCUACGGGGAGGUGCGAAUACCCUUUGAUCCGUAGAUUUCCGAAUGGGGAAACCCACCUAAGGUACUUGGAAAAUCAGAGCAGCCGGAAGGUCGCAAGACCGACUUGCUGCUGUGGUUUCCAAGUAUCUGUUAUAGGUAACUUACCCUGAAUACAUAGGGGUAAAGUGGCGAACGCGGGGAACUGAAACAUCUAAGUACCCGUAGGAAAGGACAUCAACCGAGACUCCGGAAGUAGUGGCGAGCGAACCCGGACCAGGCCAGUGGCGAUUGAGAGACAAGCGGAACCUUCUGGAAAGUAGGGCCAUAGUGGGUGACAGCCCCGUACGCGUAAUGCAAUCAAUCGUCCUCGAGUAAGGCGGGACACGUGAAAUCCUGUCUGAAAUUGGGGGGACCACCCUCCAAGCCUAAGUACUCGUGCAUGACCGAUAGCGAACUAGUACCGUGAGGGAAAGGUGAAAAGCACCCCGACAAGGGGAGUGAAAGAGUACCUGAAACCGAUUGCCUACAAACAGUGGAAGCCCAAGGUUCGUCCUGGGUGACCACGUACCUUUUGUAUAAUGGGUCAGCGACUUAGUGUGACGAGCAAGCUUAAACCGCUAGGUGUAGGCGCAGCGAAAGCGAGUCUGAAUAGGGCGUUCAGUUCGUCGCAUUAGACCCGAAACCGAGUGAUCUAGCCAUGAGCAGGUUGAAGGUAAGGUAACACUUACUGGAGGACCGAACCCAUAACUGUUGCAAUAGUUCGGGAUGACUUGUGGCUAGGGGUGAAAGGCCAAUCAAACUCGGAAAUAGCUGGUUCUCCGCGAAAUCUAUUUAGGUAGAGCGUCGACCGAAUACCCCAGGGGGUAGAGCACUGGAUGGGCUAGGGGUCCUCACCGGAUUACCAAACCUAACCAAACUCCGAAUACCUGGGAGUACUAGUCGGCAGACACACGGCGGGUGCUAACGUCCGUCGUGAAAAGGGAAACAACCCUGACCUACAGCUAAGGUCCCCAAGUUAUGGCUAAGUGGGAAAGGAUGUGAGGAUCCCAAAACAACCAGGAUGUUGGCUUAGAAGCAGCCAUCAUUUAAAGAAAGCGUAACAGCUCACUGGUCUAAAUAAGGGUCUUUGCGCCGAAAAUGUAACGGGGCUAAAGCCAUACACCGAAGCUUAGGGUUUGGUCCGCAAGGGCCAAGCGGUAGCGGAGCGUUCUGUAAGCUGAUGAAGCCAUACCCGUGAGGGGUGGUGGAGGUAUCAGAAGUGCGAAUGCUGACAUGAGUAACGUAAGGGGAGUGAGAGACUCCCCCGCCGAAAGACCAAGGGUUCCUGCUUAAAGCUAAUCUGAGCAGGGUUAGCCGGCCCCUAAGACGAGGCGGAAACGCGUAGUCGAUGGGAACCACGUUAAUAUUCGUGGGCUUGGAGGUAGUGACGGAUCAUUGAGGUAGUCCAAUCUUAUCGGAUUGAACGGGCUGCUGCGUGGUUCCAGGAAAUAGCUCCUCCUUAUAAACCGUACCCGAAACCGACACUGGUGGUCUGGUAGAGUAUACCAAGGCGCUUGAGAGAACUAUGCUGAAGGAACUCGGCAAAUUGCACGCGUAACUUCGGAAGAAGCGUGACCCUUUUCUACGCAAGUAGAGGAGGGUGGCACAGACCAGGGGGUAGCGACUGUUUAUCAAAAACACAGGGCUCUGCGAAGUCGCAAGACGACGUAUAGGGUCUGACGCCUGCCCGGUGCUGGAAGGUUAAGAGGAGGGGUGCAAGCUCUGAAUCGAAGCCCCAGUAAACGGCGGCCGUAACUAUAACGGUCCUAAGGUAGCGAAAUUCCUUGUCGGGUAAGUUCCGACCUGCACGAAUGGCGUAACGACUUCCCCGCUGUCUCCAGCAUAGACUCAGUGAAAUUGAAUUCCCCGUGAAGAUGCGGGGUUCCUGCGGUUAGACGGAAAGACCCCGUGCACCUUUACUAUAGCUUUACAUUGGCAUUCGUAGUGGCAUGUGUAGGAUAGGUGGUAGGCUUUGAAACCUGGGCGCCAGCUCAGGUGGAGCCACCCUUGAAAUACCACCCUUAUUACUAUGGAUGUCUAACCGCGGCCCGUUAUCCGGGUCCGGGACAAUGUAUGGUGGGUAGUUUGACUGGGGCGGUCGCCUCCUAAAGAGUAACGGAGGCGCGCGAUGGUGGGCUCAGAACGGUCGGAAAUCGUUCGCUGAGUGCAAUGGCAUAAGCCUGCCUGACUGCGAGACUGACAAGUCGAGCAGAGACGAAAGUCGGUCAUAGUGAUCCGGUGGUCCCGCGUGGAAGGGCCAUCGCUCAACGGAUAAAAGGUACGCCGGGGAUAACAGGCUGAUGACCCCCAAGAGUCCAUAUCGACGGGGUUGUUUGGCACCUCGAUGUCGACUCAUCGCAUCCUGGGGCUGGAGCAGGUCCCAAGGGUAUGGCUGUUCGCCAUUUAAAGCGGUACGUGAGUUGGGUUCAGAACGUCGUGAGACAGUUCGGUCCCUAUCUGCCGUGGGUGUAGGAAUAUUGAAAGGAUCUGUCCCUAGUACGAGAGGACCGGGAUGGACGGAUCUCUGGUGGACCUGUUGUGGCGCCAGCCGCAUAGCAGGGUAGCUAUAUCCGGACGGGAUAACCGCUGAAGGCAUCUAAGCGGGAAACCCACCUUAAAACGAGUAUUCCCUGAGAACCGUGGAAGACGACCACGUUGAUAGGCCGGGUGUGGAAGAGCGGCAACGCUUGAAGCUUACCGGUACUAAUAGUUCGAUCGGCUUGAUCGUUCUCAUU